rnacentral:rRNA from 1 species
UACGGAGGGUGCGAGCGUUGUCCGGAAUCACUGGGCGUAAAGGGCGCGUAGGCGGCCUGAUAAGUAGGGGGUGAAAUCUUGCGGCUUAACCGCAAGGCUGCCUUCUAAACUGUCGGGCUAGAGCACAGUAGAGGCAGGUGGAAUUCCCGGUGUAGCGGUGGAAUGCGUAGAGAUCGGGAAGAACAUCAGUGGCGAAAGCGGCUCCUGGACCAGUACCGACGUUCA